CCUCAAAUCCCAGAAUCAUUUAGGGUUGGAAAAGACCUCCCAGACCAUCAAGUCCAACCUCUGACAGAGUGCCCCCCUGCUCACUAAGCCGCACCGCCAAGUGUCACAUCCACUCGUUUUUAACAAUUCCAGGGACGGUGACUCCCAGGAGAGCCUGUUCCCAAACACGGAUACCGACGGAAACCGGCAGCCUGAACAUAAUCCCGACAGGGAAGGCUCCGCAGGCUCCAGCACCGCUCGCAGGCUCCGCACGGACCCGCGGGGAGCGGGGUUAAGCCGGGCACCACCCGCGCAGGUCGAGGCGGCUCAUCCCGCCGCUCGGGCUCGACAUCCCUCUGCAGCCGCUCCCGGCCCCUCUCGCCAGAGCCCCGGAGCAUCUCCGGGCGGCAGGAGACACAAAAUUCCACGUCAGCUUGGAAGCAGGAGGUGAAAAGCAGCACGUGGAUGUACCCACACAAGUCUACAUUUUGCUUUAGGACAGGGUUGGAAGAGAAGACAAGAAAACUGCAUUGGAAGAGAAGACAAGAAAACUGCAGGCUCCUUAAUUUUCUAUGUUCCACAAAUUAAAGUCCUGCACAGUGACCUGCCUCUUUUGUUUGGGAAUACUAACCCCAGCAGGAAACAGUAAGGCAGGAAACCUGCUGGGUACUACUACAACAUUCUGGAAGUCCCAGUCAUCCAUGGCCCUUGAGGACUUUGUCCUUUUCCCAAGGUAGAACAGGCUGGACUGGACCAGCAGAAAUCCUUACAAUGUCAGCAGCCCAUCAGUUCUCCCUCUCUUCCUGCUGGGACAGCUCAUCCUGAGCUCUCCUCUGUAACCACAGCAGUGGAGACCAGUCCUGGCUGGGUGGGAGCAGCACCUGCCCUGCUCCUCCUCCUCACUGCUCUGCUCCAUGUCCCGUGAGCAGAGGCAGAGCAGGAUUGUCCUCCCUGGGCCAGCAGGGGAUUCAUCAAUAAGGACACAGUGUUCUGGUCCAGCCUGAGUCCACCUUCCCACCUCCUGCAGACUGGGCAGAAGUUGUUUCCAGAGCUAAAUUUCACCUCUCUAAUGGGACAGACAAAAGAAUCUGAAUAGAAAAUCCCAAAUUGUGAAGUCUGGAUGGGGAUGUUUGUGGCACAUGUCCAUCUUCAGCUUGAUGCACACCAUUACCUACCUUAACAAAGAGUGUGGCUGCUCACUUCAACUCCUGUUGAAGCACCCAGAGCUCCCUGGUUGCUGUUGUGGAGUGGAUGCUGGUGCCAGUGGAUCCAGAUGGACUGUGUUUGCUUUGCUCCUUGCAGCUCACUGUAAACACAGGAGCAGAAACGACAGCACUGUUCCCACAAACACCUACAUUUAAUUUGUAUCAGUAACUCUGUGAGUGUCUUUGAAUUCAUCCCACUGAGUGCUCACUUCAGAAACAUGAAACACUCUGCCUAUGAGUCCAAUUAAAACAACUUGGGCUUUAAAACCUAGGUAUUUGUAGCCACUUUCUUGAAAGAAUAAUCCUGUGUUGGCAUAAAUGGAUAUAAAUCAAUGAAGAUCAAGGGCCUGGCACCCAGUCAUGCUCACUGACAACCCAGCUUAGAUCUGACUCAGUAAAUCAUCUCAGACACUGUGGAAACACUCAGAAUUGUUCUGAAAUGUGUGCAAGCACACAGACAGAAAACGCAGCCCUUAUUUCAGGGGAAUUAAUUUGCUGGAAAUGUGGAGCUCCUCAGGUUCUGGGUGAAGAAUCUGCAAACAGGAAGCACUGAAAGGAAUUCGCCGGUUUUGAAAAUGGAUCUCUUAAUCCUGACUGUCCCAUCUGCAUCCUCAGGCAGCUCUGCUGCUGCUCUAAUCUUUCCUCCUCCUCCUCCUCCUCUGACUCUUUGUCACUGUGGGUGACCCACCAUGAAUAAAAGAUUAGGAUGUGCCAGAUUCAAAUGAAACCUUUGCUGGAGGGGUCAUUGCUCCAGCUCCAGAGCUGCAGGACAGGAAAGCUGCAGAGCCCAAGGGGUUCAGCUCCAGGGGCACCUGGAGUCACCUCCUGCUCCAGGGUGAGAAGAUAAGGCUUCAUCUGUGAGACCCAACAGGGCCAAGGCAACGCAGGGAAGGCUGUCAGUUUGAGGUCUGAUUUCAAAGAGAUAUCAGGAAAUCCACGGGAAGAGAGAUGAAGGCUAGAGAUGAUGGAUAAAAGCUCAAAUGGUGGCCAAAGGAUAAAAAAUGAAGGAUCUAAACUUUGAAUGACAUGGUCCAUUCUGCUCCAACCCUGCACCUGAAGGCCUGGAAGGGGUCAGGUUGUGCCAAAGUGGUGCUGGGCAGAUCCUCUCCCUGGAUGUCUGGAACAUGCAAUGGGAUUUUGCUCAGUUGUUGCCAUUUUGAGGACCUGUACAGGGUUAAACUUGUUCAGCUUCAAGGGGGCAGUGAAGGGGAAGGUGCUGAUCUCCUCUCUCUGGUGGUAGGACGUGUGGCAAUGGAAUGAAGCUGCAUCAGAGGAACUUCAAAUUGGACAUUAGGAAGUGGUCCUUGCCCCAGAGGGUGGUCAGGCACUGGAUCAGGCUCCCCAGGUCACAGCUGCCACAGUUCAAGGAGCACUCAGACAAGAAUCUUAAUCAUACAGUUUAGUUCUAGGUAGACCUGUAAGGAGAGUGGUGUUAUGGUCUUCAUGGGUCUGUCCCCUCCAGCUUGAGAUAAUCUGGGAUCCUCUGAAAUUCCCCUCCCUGAAAGCACCUGAGUGAGAAAUUUGCCUCAGGGGGAAGGUGUUGAGGGGAGCUCUUGAGGCACCAUUCUGGCCACUCCUCCUGAUGGUUAAUCUCACCUUUUAAACAUGUGCCAGCAAUUGUUCAGCCUCUCUCUGCUGCACUGCAGGGGCCUCCAAGAGCACUGCUGUCUGCUCAGAGAGCACUGCUCAUCACAGCCAGGUGCCUCUUGGGCCUGGACACAUCCCAGACUGACAGGCCAUCACAGCCCCCACCUCAGGGCACUUCUCCCACCCUAAAGUCAUUUCUGAGGCUCUUCUCCACCCACACUCCCCCCUUUGACAGCUUUCACACCCCCAGGUUUGGUGCUGGGUUAAGAGUUGUACCCGAACUGAACCCACCCUGGCUGCUCCCCUGUUGGAACACCCAGGGAUCACACUGGGAGUAGGUAAGAACUGAUUUGGAACAAACUGAUUUCUUAUCAGCUGGAGGUCCAAUUCACCACUCCUGCUGCUGUCUGAUGCUUCUCUCUGGAAGCAGCUGUACAGAAACCACCGGGACAGCUCAGGGGCUGUGGUGGCACUCAAAGCAAACAGGGAUGGCAGAACUAGGUCUGCUGGAGGAAGACAGAAAUCAAAUUCACCUUCCAGCACUCACUGCAAGUGAGGCUGAUCUGCAUUUCUUAUACCAAGCAAAGGCUCCAGCUCAGAUGCUAAUUUUAUCUUGCUGGCUUUGUAGCGUCCUUGAUCUUCAAGAGAAUUCAAAAUAACAUGGAGCAAAUGUAUAACUAAGUCAUUUUAAAGAAGUAACUGCAAAGUGCAUAACUCUGCUCAAGGGGAAACAGCUUCUGUGCUAAACACAGAGUAUGAAAUCAGAUCAUGCUGGGAGAAUGAACAAAUGGGCUCUUUACUCCUCGUCCUCACCACGGGGCUGUUGGGGCAGCCCAGGGAGCUCUGUCUCCAUCUGCACUGCAAACCCACCCCGAGGGGAUGUGCAGGAAGGCCAAACCCUCCCACCCUGCACUCCCAAUGCCUUGUGACAGUGUGAUUUGAUCCCUUUGCUCAGCAGAGACAGGGAGAUGGCCUUCAUGGACAUCAGGACACUCUGUGCCAAACAGCAGACACAGCUAUUGGAAGAUGCUCCUCUUCACCUGAGUGCAAACACCCAGUGCUGGGCAGGGAGGGCUGCUCCUUUUUCCCAGAGCAGGCAGACACCCCUGGGAUAAUCCCAGCAAUCCCAGGAGGAGAGGAGUGGGGAAGCAGACAGUGUGUGCCUGCCUGGCUGGGGGCACUUGCACUGGGAGGGGCAGCACCAGCCCAGGAGAGAUGGGUUUGAGUGCCUGAAGCCCUGCCCAGCUGUCAGCAGCCCCACCAUCAAAGCCGGGGCUCCUCUCCCCCCGCAGAGCUCCAGCUGAGGCAGGAGUUUAGCAGGAGCUUCAGGGUUGCUGCUCUGGUCCCAGGAGCAGGAUCAAACUGUGCUGAACUGGCUAUCUGGGUACCUCUGCUGCAGUGGCCUCCAAGGCUUUUUUGGAAACAGCAGGGGCGGGUAGAGCUGACCCUCCCAGGGAGCAGGCAGAGGUCAGCUCAGGGCACAGACCUUCCUUGUCUCUCAGUGCAGGAAGAAAUGAGGGCUCAGACAGCAGCUCUCCCCCUCAGACACCACUUCCCUGCCAUCAAGGAAUACUGAACUAUUCCCUGUGGAAAGCAAGGGCUUGCUUCCAGGCUGCUCUCCAUGUUAUGAUUAUCCUCACCCCAAAUGUCAGGUUGCAGGUGAGUUGGUGAAGAGCCUGGUUUGCCAACCAGCAGUUUCAACCCCCUUCCCAGGAGCAGCCACAGCUCUCCCAGGGUCAUACUCAAAUUAUUUUCUCGGUCUGUACCAGGCUGGCAGGGAGGAAGAAGGAGAACUCUCAAUGGAACAAGGAAUCUUUCUUGCACUGGUUCCAAACUCAAGAGAAGUCCCUCCUUUCGAGGUGAGAGGUGUAGGAGUGCUGGGAGCAAGGGGCAGAAAGGAGGUGACUCAAACAGCUCUGCCCCACUGAAUACCACCCAUUUAAAUUCCUCCUCACUCUGGUCAGACAGACCUGGGCAGGAAAAUGCCUUCUUUGCAUCUGUGAAGCCACAGGAGUCCAGGCCAAGAAAGCUGGGGUCCAUCACAGCCUGAGAGAAACCACGACAGGAUGGGGGGCAGGCUCCAGAGAGCUCUUCUGGAGGGAGGUCAGAGGAGAAGACACAGCCAUUCUUUCUCACCACCCUCCCUAUUCACCUCCAUGCUUAUUUUCAAGGCACAGGGUGGGAUUCUUGGGGUGCCCUGUGCAGGGCCAGGAGUUGGACUCCAUCACCCUUGAGGGUCCUUUCCAACUCAGGAGGUUCUGUGACUCUUGGAGGUUAUUUGACCAUUGUUCUCCCUUCUCAGCCAGCACUGAGAUCUCACAGCCCCACCAGGUGUCCCUGCCCGGGCACACCCUGAGAGCUGGGGCCUUGUGAAGCUGGAUACAAGGAAGGAUUUAACCUCAUGGCACCACAACCUAAUCCCCCACCCUGCAGAGCUGAGGGGCAGCUGGAAACGUCUGUGUCACGAGUGGAACCAGGACACUGCCAGGGAGCUCACACUCUGCUCCCUGCCUCUGGUUUUUUUCUCUGGAUGGAAAUAAGUGAGGUGAAAAAAAAAAAAAAACAACAAAAAAACCCAAAAAGGCUGGAGAAGCUGCUGAAUUGAAAAUAAGAAAGGAGCUGAGGUGUUUGUUUCCUGUGCUUGGAUUUAAUACUCCUCGGGAUAAAGUACUGGGAACGAGAUACUCCAUUCCUGAGCUCCCCGUGCCUCCCCCACUGCUCUGCUCUGGAAUGGGCUCUCCUGGAAGCCCCUGGGGUGGGACCCUGCAGGCAAAUGGUGAAGGUGAGCGAUGGGAGCUGCUGAACUCCUCUCUUCCUUGAGCACACUUGGACUCAAAUCCCUUUCUCCACCCUCCCAGUGUUUAAGUAUUUCCUUUAUUUUCAGAGCAGGUGCUCGUUCUCUUUCUUAAUGAACCUCCUGCUCCCUUGUAAACAAGCCCUUUAUUAGCUCCACGAGCCUGCCUUGGUUUCUAUUUAUACCUUUCCCAUGUCAAUAUUUGAAAGCACACUCCCCUACGCCGCGUUCUUGCUCUGUGCCCCUUUCCAUCCCUGCUGCCUCUUGCCCACCUCUCCUUUCUCUCCCAGGUUUAUCCGUGCUGAUAAAAAUCAACCCCAGAUUUUACGUUUCCUUUUAAACAACUGGGAACUUCCUCUUCUGAUGUCCACUGAAAGGAGAUCUCCAUAUCCCUGGAGAGGUGCAAUCCCUUGUGUGGACUAAAAAGCGAACACCUGAAUCCUCCAGGCAGAUCUGUGAAUGCCUGCUGUCCACCUGGCCUUGGAGGAAGCUCCACACCUGCUUAUUUGCUGGAUUUAUGGGGAUGGAGCACCUCUCACAUGGGGAAAGCACGAGAGAAUUGGGAUUAUUUGGCCUGGAGAAGAGAAGGGGCUGGGGUGACCUAAUUGUGGCCUUUUGGUGCCUCAAGGGGCUCUGAGAGAGCUGGAAAGAGGAUUUGGAUGAGGGAGGGCACGGAAUGACAGGACAAGGGGGAAUGGCUUCCCACUGCCAGAGGGCAGGGUAGGAUGGGAUAUUGGGAAGGAAUCCUUCCCUUGAGGGUGGGGAGGCCCUGGCACAGGUUGCCCAGAGAAGCUGUGGCUGCCCCUGGAUCCCUGGAAGUGUCCCAGGCCAGGUUGGACGGGGCUUGGAGCAACCUGGGACAGUGGAAGGUGUCCCUGCCCAUGGCAGGGGGUGGAACUGGAUGGGCUUUAAGGUCCCUUCCAACCUUCUGCCCCUUGUAUUUUAAAUUAUCAUCUUACUAGUAUUAGGAAUUAAUGUUCUAGUGUUUAAACAUGUGAAAACAGGGUGUUGCUUCCCCUCUCCCAGCUGUAUCCAGGGACAAGACUUCAGCUCCUUUACCACAAGUGCUGGGAAUGGCUUUGUAAUGUAAAUAAGCACUUAUGGUAUUUUUAACAAGCACCUGCUUUAUCCUGCUGCCUAAUGAGAGCUGGACAGAAAUGCAGUGAAAGCAGAGGAAGGUAACACUGCCAUUUAAGCUAAUUAACAGCAAAUUAAAUUAAACUGACACACACAUAUAUUCUGGGCUCCUGCAUCUAACAGGAGGGAAUGCUGUGGAGAUUUCAUUAUUCACAUUCCCCAUCACCUGCUUUUUUUCCCCAGCACAUUCCUACCCAAUUACCUGGGGAAGGAAAAGGGAGAAAGAUACUAAAGCCAAUAAGAUAAUUCUCAUUUACAUAAAAAUUUUUCUGCAUUGUGUUUAAUAGUCUGCAAGUAACUGUAGAAGAAUAUAUAGUCCAUUCUUUAAAAAGCUCCAAUGCACUAAUUGAAAUUAAAUUACAUGGAACCCAGUGUCUGCCUUCUGCUCAUUGGGAGAUAAUAUGCAAGCCACAGUUUUAUGUGUUAUUAUUAAUAUUGAUGGAUGAAGCGCUGUAGUCACUACAGAGCCCCUUCCCAGAUGUGAUUCCCUUUCCUUCAGCUGUAGGUGAGCCUAAAAUGAUGUUUUU